rnacentral:lncRNA from 12 species
GUGCCGCCAUCUAACAUACCAUCCUCCAGCCCUGGGCAAACGCCGGAAAGCAGACCCUCGGGAGCCAACACAAGGAGCCCAGUGCCUCACACAAAUUUGCAAAUGGUGAAGUUAAGAUGUGGAAUUAAUUGUAUGCGUGCCUCUGUAUAACCGUAAUUCAAUUGUUAAUGAGUUUGACAUUCUUUGUGCACUCACUAUGUGCCAGGAACUUAAAGGAUAUGGGAACUCAAAGAUGACAUAAUUUUUGCUUUCAAGUUCGUGUAAUUAAGUAGGAGAGAGAAAUUUGCAUCUAAAUAAUUAGAAUAUAAGGUAGAACAUGGUAAAUGCCCAAAUACAAAAGUGCCAACAUAAAAUUCUAAUGAGGGCACAAAGGAGACAGAUUAAUGCCAGCUGGAAUCUUGGGGACGCCCCAGAGGGGAGGGUUUAAAGACAACCUCGAAGAAUACGUAGAAUUCCCAGAUGUGGAGUUACAUGAAGAGGGCAAGGGCCUUUCUGGGUGGGGGACAUGAGGUGAGCAAGGACCCAGAGGGGGGAUGGUCUUCAGGGAACUAAUCAUGUGGUAUUCAAGGGGAGGAGUGUUAGUGUGAAGAUCUGAAAGGUGAGCCAGACAAUGAAGAGCUGGGUUCCCUGUGAUGCUGCUGGGUUGUGCGUGGGUCUGGAACCCCUCCCUGAUGUAUGACUCAAAAGCGAGGUGGCAGCGUGGGCAGCUCCCAUCAGGAAUUGGUUUUAUAUACUCUGGGCCUAGGUAUUCUGCAGGAUUUCUUCAAUGUUUAGUGGACUUAUUGCAUUGAAAGAGAGCAGAAGAAGGGGGAAAGACACACACACACACACACACACACACACACACACAAAGAAAGUAAAAGGAAGGGAAAGAAUGAACAGAAGGGAAAGAAAGAUGGAGAAGGGAGCAGCGGAGGAGGAGGCGCAGCUGACCCUGCAGGGGGAGGGAGGCUCCGCUCAGGGGCUGCACUUAGGGAGCUGUUCUGGCUUUUCCAGGCCCGUGGCCUCUGGCUCCAGUCCCUGGCUGACCACAGAGGACAAUGUGAGACGGGUUUGUUUGGUGAUGUGUUUUCUGCUGGCCCUGUCUGUUUGUUUUCCAUUUUUCUGGCAGUGUACACGUCUGGGAUGGAGAAGAAGGAGGAGGUCAGGGACGUGGCCAGCAUUGACAAUGGCCCUGGGGCCGGGCUCUGGGCUGGCAGGAUCCUGUGGCGCGGGCUUGGAAAGAAUUAGUCCUGGAGGCCUGGGCUUCUUGCCUGUGUAGCCAGGAUGUCAUGCUGGGCUGGGGAGCCCGUGGGGGCAGCAAGAACAGCUACUUCCAGCUCGGUGCUGGGCGCCUCAGGAGUGCUCAGGAGAGCCAGCCCCGUCCCAAGCCCCGAUGAUGAGUCUGGCUUUCUCUCUCCUAUCCCACAGCCCUUGGAAGCCAACCUAACGAGCACCAUUAAAGUUAAUGAAACGC